CCCUACCUGUAAUCAGUGAGUCCUUCCUGUUUUCUUCGAAUUUUGAUGUGCAACUGUAGUUUCUCCAUUUAUCUUGAAUUCCGUCAGAUCCCUGUCGGUCAGUUACUCAGUUUGUAGUAGAACUACACAUCUUUCCUAGACCUCCAUUGAAUUAGUUUUUCUUACUAGGUCAUAGUUGUUUGAUUAUUGGCAAACAAUCAUUCUUUACCUAUCCUUUUUGCAUCCGCAGAUUGAUCCGGCAACAGAGAGUUGAAGCUGCAAAGAAGCGUGAUGAGGAAAAAGCCGGUACACCACUACUCUUUGUAAUAUUUGGGAGAGGAUGACUAAUCUAAUAUUGCCAAGAUAUACGUUUGUUGUCCUUGACCUGAUUUUGAUGGCACUCAAUUUAUUUCAGCUUGGAGUUGGUUUGUAUUGUUUCUGCAAACAAUUGUCUGAACAUGUAAAUAAUAGUUGGUCACAAGUCAUAUGGGUACAGUGCAUCAUAACAACUCUGCCCCUACACAAUAUACAUCCCAUUACUUAUUUUUUUGGUAUGAUAAGUUGAGAAACAACUUGUUUUGUUGUUUUUUGAUGUGAACUACAUUAUAUGGACCUUUCACUCGAUUAUGUGCUAUUUUUUUACUAUAAUUGACAUGUUGAUAUGUCAUUCUAGAAUUUUGUUACUUCUGUUGGAACCUAAUUUUCAAUUUUACACCUUGCAGAAUUUAUGACUGGCAGAUUACAUGCUGGUUUCUUACUGCUUAGGUUUCGACAUUCGACAUUUGAACAAAUCAUAUACUGGAGAUUAUUAUAAUAGAAGGUAAACUUACCAAGCGAACAGAGCGAACAAUACUUUUGUUAGUGUUUUCCAGUCUGUUGCAUGCGCAUUGUGGUCACUACUGUCAAUCCAUGGAAAUUUAAAUGAUGGAUUAAACAAAUGGAACCUAUAUCCUGACUUGCCACUACUAUACUGUAGCUUCUGAAACACUUAUAUGCACAGAUAGUUUCUCUUUUAUCAUAACUGAAACAUUAUAAAGAUAAAUCUCACUCAGUUUUUAAGUGGGGAAGGGAAAGCUUCAAGAUAUUGCAUUUAAAACACUGAUAUCUAUUUGAAAAUUAAUUCAUGUGCAUACCUCCUGGAUCCUAUCAUUAUCAUGUCUCUAUUUCUCUUGUUCAAGAGAAGCGUGAAACAAAGCACUCAUAUUCACAGCAGCACAUACAGUUAUUCUAUGCUAUCAGAAAUAAGGUCGUUAAUAUUCAGAUAUAUGCAUGUAAACUUGGCCGGUUAAUCAUCAAACACACACACACACACACAAACACCACGCUGGAAGGUGGUAUUCAUGGUUGAUAGAUGUCCCUAUAAGAUUGUACAUUGUUCCUCUGAUCCAUUGCGAGGUAUAUAAAUGAUUCGAUUUUGACUUUAUUUUUUCAUCUUAGUUCACCUAGUGUUGGAUAAAAGUUGGACAGAUCCACAUAGGUAAGUCUUAUCCAUAUAAUGCUUUUACAAUCUGCCAGUGGAACUUUAAAUGAUACGAUUUACCAAUUUCAACGAUGUAUAUUAGCAGAUUAAGUAAAAGCAGUGUUAGAUAUGAAAUGAACUUAAUUCAACCAUUCUCUAGAAGAAAGUACCUAUUUGUCAUAUGGCGAUGUUAUCUUGUAGAACAACAAUAGGGAUUUGUUAACAUUCGACCUUUAUGCUGUACUUUUUCCAUUUUGAUUCGCCUACUGUUAAUAUCCUCUUCUUCAACUGACACAUUCUUGCAAGCUAUCACAAUUGAUGAAAUAUAAUUACGAGCACUUAGCUUUUUUGAAUUUUAUAUGCAUACCAGAAGAUUUACUCGUUACAAACAUUAAACAGACGGACCUCUUUUUCAACAAGUUGUUUCAAAUCCCACUGAGACAAAAUAAAAGUGUGCUACUGCUAAUUACUAUACUGGAACAGAAUGUAUGGUUGACAUAAAGGCUAUAUUGGAAUAUUUUAGCUGUUGUGGUGUUCCUAAUAACUUAAAACUGCUGUGAAGAUGAACUGAACAAUAAUACUCUCAAAUUAGAGAGCAAGAAAUUUCGAGUUAGUCUACUGUAGGGUAAUAAAGUUCUUAUAUAUGCUGCAAAUCAGUUGCCUUGUGGUGUAAUCACUGAUGUCAUGUUUCCAUAAGUGCCUGCUGUAAUGACCUUAAUAGUGCAAAGCUAUGUUUUAUAUAAAUUUGCCUAUUCUUUCCAGAGUGCAGGGAAAUGUAUGAGGUGAAUCAAUUUUCCUAUUCUGUUGUUGCUGCUAUAUUUAGGUGUAUGUGGGUUUAAGAUUGGACACUAAUUGUUGAACUAGGAGCUUUCCCUCGUUAGGAAUAUAAGCUGAAACUUUCCCAUUGCCUUGAUUCUUUGUAGGAAAGACAUACAAGAUGACCAGGAACCAUGAAGCUCGCAGUUUGCGUUAACUGUGUAAUGGAGAGGACUAUGAAUCGCUGGACAUGUGUCUAUUAGCUAUCAUAUAUGGUGUCUUGGUCAAGUGGAUAUUCUGUGUAAUGUAAGACGCAUGAUUUGUAGGACAUAUAUCUAUUGGCUAUCAUUUUGUAAACCUAUCCGGUCUCUCGGUCACUGAACCAUAAAUGUUUCCUCUUAAUUGGCUACCUCCUCCGUUUGUGAGAAGUAAUUAAUGUGCUAUUUUUGUUUGGUUUUGGUUUAAUAUUUUUGGAGUACAUGCAUGUUACUUUAAUUUGAUUGAUAUUGUACUGUAAUGAGAUAUAUUACUAGACGGACACUGUUUUGGU
rnacentral:lncRNA from 1 species